rnacentral:rRNA from 1 species
UACGUAGGGUGCAAGCGUUACUCGGAAUUACUGGGCGUAAAGCGUGCGUAGGUGGUGAGUUAAGUCUGUCGUGAAAGCCCCGGGCUCAACCUGGGAAUGGCGAUGGAUACUGGCUCGCUAGAGUGCGGUAGAGGAGAGUGGAAUUCCCGGUGUAGCAGUGAAAUGCGUAGAGAUCGGGAGGAACAUCAGUUGCGAAGGCGGCUCUCUGGACCAGCACUGGCACUGAGGCACGAAAGCGUGGGGAGCAAACAGG